rfam:Phytophthora parasitica P1569 supercont1.4887, whole genome shotgun sequence.
GCCCUCGUAGCUCAAUGGUCGAGCGUUGCCUUUGAAAGCCACACGUCGGUGAUUCAAUUCCACCCGGGCACA